GCCUGGUUAGCUCAAUCGGUAGAGCGUGAGACUCUUAGAGUAUUCACGUUCCCACAGAACGAUUGAUCUCUCUGCAAUCUCAAGGUUGCGGGUACGUCUACCCCACACUACCAAUCACAUCUGCCAUAUACUUACAAUAUCCUCAGGUUCGACCCCCGCAUCGGGCU
rfam:Pyrenochaeta sp. DS3sAY3a unplaced genomic scaffold IQ07scaffold_5, whole genome shotgun sequence.